GAAGCAAACUGGCUCAAACCACGCUGCCUAGAAAACUCAUCGUUCGAAGUCCUGUGGGUGACCGUACCGCAACCCGACACAGGUAGGCGGGAAGAACAUUCCCAGGCGUUCGAGAGAACCCCCGUUAAGGAACUCGGCAAAAUGGCCCCGUAACUUCGGGACAAGGGGUGGUCGCUGGGGUGCAAGCCCUGGUGACUCACAGUAAAGAGGGUCAGCUGACUGUUUAGUAAAAACACAGGUCACUGCAAAGACGCGAUGUCGCGGUAUAGUGACUGACACCUGCCCAAUGCUGGAAGGUCAAGGGGAUGCGUCAGCCGUAAGGCGAAGCGCUGAACUCAAGCCCCAGUGAAUGGCGGCCGUAACUAUAACGGUCCUAAGGUAGCGAAAUUCCUUGUCGGGUAAGUUCCGACGCGCACGAAUGGUGUAACGAGCUGACCGCUGUCUCAACGGGGGACUCGGCGAAAUUGUGGUCGCAGUGAAGACGCUGCGUGCCCGCAUGUAGACGAAAAGACCCCAGAACCUUUACUGCAACCUGGCAUUGAAUAUGUGAUCAGGCUGUGUAGGAUAGGUGGGAGGCGCUGACACCCGGCCGCUAGGUCGGGUCGAGCCAACGGUGAAAUACCACCCUGCUUGUCCGCGUGUUCUAACGUCCAAGGCGUGAAGCCGCCAGACGGACAGUGUUAGGUGGGCAGUUUGACUGGGGCGGUUCCCUCCUAAACGAUAACGGAGGGGCCCAAAGGUGCCCUCAGCGCGGUCGGCAAUCGCGCGUCGAGUGUAAAGGCAUAAGGGCGCUUAACUGCAAGAGACACAUCUCGAGCAGAAACGAAAGUUGGGCUUAAUGAUCCGGCGGUGGAAGGUGGUAUCGCCGUCGCUCAACGGAUAAUAGGUACUCUGGGGAUAACAGGCUUAUCGGAUCCGAGAGUUCAUAUCGACGAUCCGGUUUGGCACCUCGAUGUCGGCUCAUCGCAUCCUGG
rnacentral:rRNA from 1 species